UACGGAGGAUGCGAGCGUUAUCCGGAUUUAUUGGGUUUAAAGGGUGCGCAGGCGGAAUGUCAAGUCAGCGGUAAAAUCGUGGAGCUCAACUCCAUCCAGCCGUUGAAACUGAUGAUCUUGAGUGGGCGAGAAGUAUGCGGAAUGCGUGGUGUAGCGGUGAAAUGCAUAGAUAUCACGCAGAACCCCGAUUGCGAAGGCAGCGUACCGGCGCCCAACUGACGCUGAAGCACGAAGGCGUGGGUAUCGAACAGG
rnacentral:rRNA from 1 species